rnacentral:rRNA from 1 species
GAUGAACGCUGGCGGCGUGCCUAACACAUGCAAGUCGAACGAAGCUUGACGGAUGAUUUCUUCGGAAUGAAACCAGAUAUGACUUAGUGGCGGACGGGUGAGUAACACGUGAGCAACCUGCCUUUCAGAGGGGGAUAACGGCUGGAAACGGUCGCUAAUACCGCAUGAUGUGUUCGGAUGGCAUCAUCUGAACAUCAAAGAUUUAUCGCUGAAAGAUGGGCUCGCGUCUGAUUAGAUAGUUGGUGGGGUAACGGCCUACCAAGUCUACGAUCAGUAGCCGGACUGAGAGGUUGAACGGCCACAUGGGGACUGAGAUACGGCCCAGACUCCUACGGGAGGCAGCAGUGGGGAAUAUUGCACAAUGGGGGAAACCCUGAUGCAGCAACGCCGCGUGAAGGAUGACGGUUUUCGGAUUGUAAACUUCUUUUCUUAGUGACGAAGACAGUGACGGUAGCUAAGGAAUAAGCAUCGGCUAACUACGUG